ACAAGCAGCGGAGCGUGUGGUUUAAUUCGUUGCUACACGAAGAACCUUACCUGGGUUUGACAUUAUAGGUUGUAGGGAACUGAAAGGGACCGACCCUUCGGGGAGCCUAUUACAGGUGUUGCAUGGCUGUCGUCAGCUCGUGUCGUGAGAUGUUCGGUUAAGUCCGCUAACGAGCGCAACCCUCGUCGUAUGUUAUAUGUGUCAUACGAGACUGCCGGUAAAAGCCGGAGGAAGGUGAGGAUGAUGUCAAGUCAGCAUGACCUUUAUAUCCAGGGCUACACACACGCUACAAUGGUCUGUACAAUGGGUAGCCAAGCCGCGAGGCGGAGCCAAUCCUGAAAGCAGGCCUCAGUUCAGAUUGCAGUCUGCAACUCGACUGCAUGAAGUCGGAAUCGCUAGUAAUCGCAGGUCAGCGUACUGCGGUGAAUACGUUCCCGGGCCUU
rnacentral:rRNA from 1 species